rnacentral:RNase_P_RNA from 1 species
CUAGGAAGAAGGGCGAUUGAGCCACUAAGCCGCAAGGCAUAAGUGGUUAGGAAAGUCCAGACAGCAUAGAGUAGGGUGUCCGGCGUAAGCCGGAUGUCGUAAGACAAAGUUUAGAGCAACAGAGACGAGUUCCGAGCAAUCGGAAGUGAAACGGGCAAUCCUCCCCGCUGCAAUCCUAGAACCAACUUGGGCUACUCGCUCAUAUAAGUUGAAAUCAGGAGCAUAGAUGAGACGUAAGUCUCUCUUUUAGAUAAAUAACCGCCUUGAAACAGAAUCUGGCUUAUUAUCUUCCUAGGCAA